CUCUCACGCGCACUAUCCUCCGUCUCCGGUGGCCAAACGAAGCCACAAGACGUCAUGACAUGGCUGAGCUCGGCUCUGACGAACCACGACACUUGCGCGGAAGGGUUCGAUGGCGUCAACGACGGUGGCGUGAAGGAUCAGAUGACGGCGGCGCUCAAGAAUCUCUCGGAGCUCGUCAGCAACUGUUUAGCGAUAUUCGCGGCGAGCAGUAACGGAAACGAUUUUGCCGGAGUGCCG
rnacentral:lncRNA from 1 species